GACAUCCACUGAAAACAGAAUUGCUGCCUCCAGCUCACAGGACAUGCUGAGAACUGCUUUGAUGGAUACUCUUCAUCUAGCUGCAGCUAUUGCUGCAGCUUUGAUGGAUGCUGAUAUUGGGCAACAGGGAUAUUAUGGAGGAGGAAAAGCCUCACAUUAACACAAUACAGCAGUGCAUAAAGGCUUCAAAACCAGCUGUACUGCUCAACUUGGAAGCAAAGAGGAAGAGCUGAUCUUGGUGAGAAGAAAAAGCCACUACAUGCUGUAAGAAGAAACAAUUUAGCUGAGGAUUCAAACUAAGGAUGAUGACUAUGGGGUUCUUUUACCAGGCUGUAUCCUGUACCGGGAAAGGCUCAAAAUCUCCAGUAUUCACAUCAUCUUUUAAGACCUCCAUAAUACAAAUACAGAAGCACCUUCAAAUCACUCUGACUAUGCAUUAGGGAUUAGGACAGAACCCAGCUUGAAUGCAAACUUCUCCUCCCCUGCUACACUCCCUGAGCACCCCCAUUUGCUUGGCUCAGCCAUCCCCCACAUUCCAUCACACAUCAGUAUGGCCUUAACUCUGGGGCAAAGAUUUCCCUUACCACACAUCUGAGCAAAAUCCUGAACUCCAGGGUCCUGAUUCUUUGUGACCACUCCCUCAGGAGCCACCUCCAUGGACAUCAACAGUUAUUAAUCACCAACAAAUCUAUUCAGUUCCUAGAUCCCAUGUGUAUGUACACACACAUGUGUAUGUUAGAAGGAAAGACAGAAGAACUCUUCCUGAUCUUUUUGUUUGCAAAGCCACUGGAGAUAUUUCAGUUCAUCUGAGCAGCACCAAGAUGAAGAUGAAGUAAUGCAAACAUGCCAACUCUUCUUAGUUUUAAUCCUUUUCCCAACUCCUUUUUCUAAUGCGCAAUGUCAUUUUGCACCUAAGUGAACCCUCGCAAUGUCAUGGAGUCUAUCUUGCAGAAAAUGUCAAAAUAUUCUAACUCACAGAACUUGGAAGUACUAAAGUUCAAAAGCUAAGAAACUGCACUGCUGAUUCUGAGCCCAGAAAAUGGUUCCUGGGACUUCAGUGAGCACAAGUGUCACUUGAACAAGGAUGGUUUCCCACUUAUCUGAAGGAAAACACUUGGAAGCCAUCAGUAUGGAGAUGAUAAGCAUGGAGACGCUGUUCUGUCUGAACAUCAUCAUCUCAUCUCAUGAAGAAAGCAGGAGAAAAAAGUCCUAUACUCUAGGAAAUGAGAGCUGGAAAUUGCAAUGCAAAUUAUGCUGCUUUACCACCUCUAAUGUGCCUUUCAAGGACCACUCACAUCGUGGCUGCCACUGGACAGGGCCCAUCACCUCCAUGCCAUGCAUAUCCACAGUGAACAACAGCAGGAGCCAGCAGGCUCCCUCUAUCAGACUGGGUGCAUAAAUCCCAGGCUGCAAAUCUCAUUUUCUUAUCAGAAUUUAUUUUCCUUCAGGCUAAAUCCUUCACCAUCUUUUCUCUGACUCUCAUCAUAUGUAAAUGUCAAAGGGUCAUAUAACAAAACAGUGAGAUGGAAAGUAAUGAGGACAGAAACAUUUCCUAACCAGGGUGGUGCUGCCUGCAGACUGUCCUAGACCAGAAGUGUUUUCCUCCUCGCUGUCUUUCAGCAUAAAGAGAGAAGCACUGUGCAAAUGUAUGGGUGAUGAGCAAGCGAAUACUGAGAUGCUAAAUGAUUUUAAUGACUGGCUUUCACCCAGACUAUGCUUUGCUUGCGGUGUCCAUCCGGUUAGGAAUAAUGUAUCCUUCCCUUGGAAAACAGAAGGUAAAGUGCUGCUGAUCUUCUGGAUUCACUGAAUCCUGGGAAGUGCAGAUUGUUCUCUUCUAAUUCAAAGAUUUGGAAGCAAUCAAUUUUCUAGCACAUACUCAGAGACAUAAAAGAGCAGAGUUAUGUUUCUGUAUUCGAAUAUAACCUUUUUGCUGAAAAGAUCUUUUGAACACCCCCCCCACUUUGGGCAUUUGGAUUUCUACACUUCCAGACUGAAGCAGAUGGAGAUUAAGUGACAUGCUUAAAAUGCCCAGAAAUUUUCAUUUAGCAAUUAUCGAAGAGUUUUGAGGACUAGUACAAAACAUUCUGAAGAAACCACGGAAAGGCCAAUGCUUCUGCUGUUUGUGCUGGGUCACAGUGCAGUCGCUGCAGAUACCCACCAUUCACCAUGAGAUGGAACUCCCCAGUUUCAGAACUACUACAAGAGGGAGGAGGAUUCCUUUAGUGAUGGCCGCCAGGCCUAGUGGGAAGCUUCUGCCCUGGAUCUUCCUGAGCCUCUGCUAGGCCUCUGCAGAACAAAGAGUAACAGAAGUAGCAGCAGCCCUGAUGUACUAAGAUUCACCCUGGGCGCCUAGGGCUCCUUUCCUGACAUUUAAAUCGAUACUUUAGUUCGCAUUUGCGGCUGAGUAGGCGUGCACACGCUAGGAGUCAUCCCACAGCACUGACACAUGGAUGUGCAGCACCAUGGUGACACACUUGUGUCCUUGAAUCCUUAGAGUCUCUAGAGUGAUUAACACAGCCAAGCUCCAGCACUUGCAUCCUUACGGUGCAAAUCCCAGGCGUGGAAAGGCAGCUGCACUCCCAGGCAGUGGGACGUGGAGGUGCCCAGGAUGACCUGCCUCCCACACAGCCAGCUCUGAAUAACGUGAUCAGGCUUCUGAAAGGGUCUCUGCAAGUUUAAGAGCAAGUAAGGCUGAGAGCAGCUGUAGGGAGAAUGGCAAGAGGUCUAUUUCUCAGGGAGAUGAACCUCCUGCACAGGAAGGACAGGGUGCCCAGAGAUGCGGUCUUUGCCAAAGUACCAAAAAGAAGCAAUAGAAAGCUGUAAAUAAGUCUGCCAGUUCCACUAGCACAAACUGACAAAGCUAACACUACCUUACAAAGAACUGCUUUUCUGUUUGCGUUAAGCAACAACGCUGAAAAAAGCUCACUACUUACAGAGCAAGCAUUUAGCCCAUCUCACGAUUAUCAGUAGAGACAACAGUGGUCAAAAUAAAACCCAAUUAAGAAGAGAGCAGCUCUGGAUAUAAAUUCUGCAUUUCCUCCCAGAAAUACUACAUUCUCUACGCAGAGAAACAAGUUACGGCACGUAUCAAGCAACCAGGAAAAAUAAGAAUAAUCAGAGCAUGGAAAGCACCAACCAAGUUAAACAAAAGCAAAGAAUUUUCCACAUCCUGACAAAAGAGUAAAUAUUUAGAAGUCUAAUUAGCACUGACCGCCGUACAUGAAGCUUGCUAUUUCCCAAGGGCCUUGACAUUUUAGAUGCUGCAUGAACACCAAGAGAUCUUAGCUCUUGCAGAAGUAACUGUUGUUAAAAUCUCAAGCCCGCUUUGAGACACAAAGACUAUUUGCACAGCAUUAAAACAAUAGCUGGAACUGUCAGUCUGGGCUCGGUGAGAACAGAACAACUCAGAGGAAGCACACGAACCUGCCCAGUGAUGUACUGUGGAGGCUUUGGUGAAGCACUGCCCUGUCUUCCUCACAGCUGCAGCUGAGAUCAGCAAGCAGAGCAGGAGCUUCGCCUACCCCAAGGCAGCCACCUCUGACCCAGCUUUCUCCAUCUGACCUCAGAAAGGCACCUCUGCUACUCCUGACCAACAAAGCCUUCAAGUUUCCUGCAAACCCCGAGCACAACUCUUCCUUCAAGUCUUAUUCUAUUAACAUCUCCUACUGAAUCAUCUCUACAGGGUAAACUCACUGCCUUGCAGGCUGCAGCACAGCAUGGCUGGUGCCGGGCAGGCAAUGCACACUAACUUCUUUCCCUGGGUUGGAGAGGAACUUUCCAAAGGAUCUCCUUUGGACUGCAGCUCUCCACUGUCACAGGGGUCAGGAGGUGCAGUCUUACUGCUGUCAGUCUUCAAGAUCAGGGUCAGGGUGAGCUUUCUCAUUCUGCUUUGAGGUUAGAUGUUGUGGCCCCUGGAAGUAAUGACUGCUACCUGUGUUUGCCUGCAGUUUUCACAGGGGUUGCACUGCGUGAUCCAGAGAUCACCAGGAAGGUUCACUGACUUCAGAGCCUGUGUCAACACACCUCAAGGGAGAAACUGAUUCUUCACCUAAAUCUGGAAAAUGAAAAGACAAGAGAAGAAAGCUGCUGCUCCUAAGCCUGUGAGCCACAAAAAUAGCAGACCUGUGUCUAAAUCUAAUGUAGACACUGCAAAUACCAAGAGCUGUUGUAUUUAAGCGGUCUUCAUGACAAAGAGCUGCUUUAUGCACGGCACGACCCUGCUUACAUGCCUGCUCAGAGCCUGACAGGGCAUGAUAAGGGAGCAGCACUUGUCCAAAGAGCGAGAUCCAAUGUAAUUGCUCUCUUAGGAGAAGGCUGAAGGCAAGCCUCAGAGCCAGCCUCCUCAGACACUUGCAAACUACAGUGUCUUAGCAAUUAGUCAGUCUGAUCUGGCCUGAAAACAGUUGCUACUGCAUCAGCUCUGUGAAGGAAUGCACAACACAACGCCAAAGUGGCAGUGACUCGGAAUUAACCCAAUCUACCACUGUAAAACAUUCAGAAUUAAAAACAAAAGUUGGAAUCGGCGUUUCCGAUGGUUUUUCAAGUGUUGUCAAACGUCUCCGACAAGGAUCAGCAGCGCUGAGCAGAAAGCACUGAGCUACCUGUGGGUCCCACCAGCUGCAGAACAGCUCAUUAAAAAUGCAUCCAAGAAACAAUUUUCUCAUGCUGCAAGUCAAGUCUUAUUUAAACAGACUAAAAGCCAGACAGCUCAGGCACGACAGGGAACCAGGCAGCACAAGCAUCUCAGAACCUCCCAGGCUUUGUGCAGGACAACAGGCACUCAGCUCUGGGCUGGACUUGCCACCAGAAUACAAAGAGCUUCCCAUUUGCCCACAAAUCCUUCAUUCCUUGACCUGGGAGAAAGCUGUGGGGAGCUUAAGUGAUUGGCACUUGGAGCCAAACACAAGUUGUUAAACAGAGAGAAAUAAAAAGCUCUCUGAUGUUUGUUUCUCUCACAGUUUACGCUUUGCUUCCAUGUGAAAGAUACAGAAGAGGAUUGUCACCUUGUGCUCAGAGUCCAGCAAUGGAGCACACGAACCUACACACAUCCCACACAGGGUGUCUUUUCUCCCAGUUCCCCAACUCUUCAGAUUUUCUCCACCUGCUCACUGAACUCACUAUUCUAAAUGUCCAAGAACCCCAACUUGUGCUGAGGUUGGUCCUUCACUCCCUGGGUUUGCCUGAAGGGCUUUCUGCAACUUAGUUUUGUUUUGUUUUUUUAAGUGCAGCUCUACACUGCAGCAAAUACAACUCAGUCCCAACCUCACUAAUCACAACAACCCAACUGACAUAACCAUCUGACUCUUGUAACAAAACUCACGUCCCCCACCCAAUUUGCUGGCCCAAAUACCAAACAGAUUUCUAAUUCCAUCCCCUAAUUACAAGUAGCAUCUUUUUGGCUGCCUAAAACAAGUAAGUUUUUCAGUCCUACUACAUUUACACCCAGUACAAGAUCGAAAAGGUUCCAGAAGCAGCAGAGACUGGCUGAAGUGCUACACAAAGCAGGGCGCAAAACCCCAGCUAACAGACAUGAACUGCUUCCACAACGAUCCUGUUAAGGGCUGGAAAACUCACGCCACUCUGCCCAACACAAACACACCGAGACAACACCGAUGAAAACACCGCAACACCAUCCCCUUAUUGAUGCACGGCCAUCCCCCUCCUCGUGUCACUGCCAAAACAAAGAGAAUUAAUAGAAUGCUGCUUCCCAAGAGCCCCAUGGAACCAAACAAGAAGAGAUCUGUCACGUUCUGUUUUAUUAUUUAUAAUACCCCAAAUCUCUCUUGCAACCAGCCAUUGCAAAGGCAGUGACAAGAAGUGAAUAUGGAUGGGAAGCUUCAUAGACUUACAAGAAAUAAUGAAGAAAAAAGGAAAAACCCCACAAAUCUCAAAGAAAUGAGAACUCAGAACUUCAAAGCCAAGCCAAAAACGAAACCUGUCACAGUCAGGGCAGCGACAAAGGAGCUGCUGCCAUGUGCAAGGCAAUUACUCUAUCAGCAAACUCUGCUGAAGAGCAAAACUCCCUACAAAAAGAAUCACGUUGAGCAAUGGAGGCCCUCCCACAUGCCAAAUGAAGGAACUAAAUCCUUCCAAAGACAAUGUAAGCAAACGAGGGGAAAAAGCAAAGGAAACAGGACAAAAGGGACAUCCAAAAAUAUGCGUUGCAUUCCACUUAUAUUAAUAUACUUGCAUAAUUGCACACCUACCAGAGAUUUACAGUCAUUAUCACUGAAUGGUCAUUAUUAGCCUAAAAUGCAUUUAGAAGUUAUGUGGCUUGAGGAGAAAAAAAGCAAGUGCAAAGGGACACAUUUGCACUGCUGGCUUUGAACAAAUAGAACAGCACCAGUGCACAAUGAGAACUUGUCGUGGUACACACAGUGCUGUCACAUCUGGUAAUGGAAAUAAAAAAUACCACCUGGAGUUUGAUGUUCCUGGAGAUGUGAAGGGCUAUACCUGUGAAGGCCUAUACCAGACAAUGAAAAUCACUCUGAACUGACUUGUGCAAAAUGAUAUGCUUCAGCAGGGGCCUACGCCUAGAUUAAUAUGACAACGUUUUUUCCUAGGAUGUGCAGGUACACUGUAAUUCCCGUAUGCAGGAGCAAGCAUCCCAAAAGAUUCCUGGUCCAAAGCACUGAUGAUCAUACAAUCCCUUCAGCUGGAAAAGACCUUCAAGUUUAUCAAGUCCAAAACGAUCUAGCCCUCCACUCCCACAUUUCAGAAAGACAGAACUAAGACAGCUCUGCCAGCAUCCACCAGGAACAGGAGGGUGCUUGCAGUUCUUCUGCCAGCCAACCCCUGCAAGGCUUCACUUCAAGGAUUAAACUGACAGCUGUGAGAAUGCUGCAGUGAAGGAGCUGGUGCUUCACAUUACCGACCUUACAGGUGCAGGCACCCCAAACUGUUCCUGAAGAGUCAUUGCUACUUCCUGCAUUUCUUCUCACCACUUUUACUUUGUUGUUCAAAACAACUGUUACUCAGGUCUCUAAAAGCCACUGUCUGCUUCGCUUUGGAUGCUGAGAUUUGCAAGUUUCGUUGUUUCCCAUCCCAGACAAUCAGCACUGAGCAGCAAUCAGUUCCGAAAAAAACCACAGCCGAAGGAUGUGUGAGAGCACUUGCUCUGGCUUUAAACCAUCUCAUGAGAAUUUGUAUAGGAUCAGCUACCUCGCAGGGAAGACCCACCGUACGGUUCUCAGCUGUCAUUACAUUGGAGUGAAGUGAGGCUCUUUUCCAGAUAGUGCUGAUAAAUUCAUGCUCCUAUGAUGCAAGUCAAAUCACUCCCAUUUGGCUCAACCCUCUCACGGCUUUACACUCAUUUAUUCACAUCUCCAUCACCACUUCAGCACAACAAGUAUAAUUACAAGUAGGAAAACCGCAUCUUUUUGCAAAGGUGAUGGAGGGGAGAUUUCCACUUAAUCCUGCACAGAUUGAAGCAGAAAUUAGCUCCUUCACUCCACUAACAUAGAGCCUCAAAAUACUUAAGUCUUUUUUUUCCUCCCUUAAUUCCUCCUGCUGUUGCAAAACUACCAGCACGGACGUCGCUGGGAUAGAAAGCUCAGCCUCGUAGGUAAUAAGUUUUAUUGAGUUCUCGGAACCAUAUCAUCCGUCCACCAGACUUUUUAAUUUGCCACAUGAACGGUUCAGUGUCACACCAGCUCCUGGAGAACUGGGAUAGGCACGACGAGUUCAUGGCGAGUGCUUUCCUGAACCAAGCAGAAGUGCUCCCCAGAGUGCAUACAGAUUAAACCGGUCUUUUCACAGCAGUAUUUAGAUCACCUUUUAAUCACUUUAGAAGCAGGUGGCUAAUCUAUAUUCAGACAUUUUCUUGCGAACUUUACUUGCAUCUUGUUUCAUCACAAUGAAAGCAAAGAAAAUCUCCAUGGCUGACAUUCCGUGGUGGAAGAGGGGAAAAAAAACACUUCAAUAUUGGUGACUGAUACUGAUUGGGAACUUCACAUCACAGCCUUGUAAAAGCCACGCCACACUAGAAUGGAGAGCACUCCGGGCUGAGGGCCACAUCUUGUGUUUGGAGAACUCAAAACCAAAAGGUAACUACUGGUGAGUUAAACUCAGUCAGAAAGACAACAAAGCAAACCUCAGAACCCCCCGGGAUCAAACAGAUGUGAGCCCAUCCAAAAGCCUUCAGAUGUUUUAGUGUUUUGUUGCCUGCUUCUAUAAAACAAUACUGCACCACUGGGACAAGCUCCUGCUUAGUGCUCCACGUGUCCCUCAGCAAUGGAAGGGGUGCAGCAGGCAGUGGUACAUGGGGACAGCCAUCAGUGGCAGCUCUGACAAACUGCUGUACCUUCAGAAGUGACAAGUCCUGGGAGUGCACAUACACUGUAUUACUAAGAAAAGCCAGGCAUCCUCAGGCUUUGCUGACAUUUGAAAUCCUUGUCUGGUUUCAAAAGCCACUGCUUAACUUUGCUUUCCUGUUACCACUUUUUAUAGCCAAACGUUGAGUUUGAAACAAACAAAAAAGAAUGGCCAACCUGUCCUUCCCACCAUCAGUACGGGCACUCCAUCCCGAUACCCCCAGUAUCCAUCCCAGCAGCACCUGUUACUUAAAGCUGCUCCUCUUGUGCAAGGAGAUUCCUGAUCUCCCCCAUCCCAAUUAUCCUGAGAAAAAGGUUCUCACCUUUUUUUUCUAUCUGAAAGGGUUUUACAAGUUUAUAGAAAGCCACUUUAAUAUCUCAGCAUAAAACUCAGGAAAAGCAGCAGCUGACCGGACAUUUGUUAUCUUGAUUUUGCAGUAUUUUAAUUCUGUUCAGUGAGGAAAUUAUUUCAGCUCAAAUCAAUAAAGCCACAUUUAACUCAAAUUAAGGAGACGUACACAGAAUUUUAUAGCAAUCAGCUAGAGUGAUUUAAUAGAAAUUGAUACCGCUUUGGCAUGCACAUAACCCUGAAUUGGAAUACCUGUGUACCAACUGGAAUAUUUAUCUGGAAAGAAGGAUAAAUGCAGGAGUAUUAAUUCUAAACAGAUGACAGAAUUGUAAUUGGUUUUAUGGAGGAAAGAAAACAGCAAUUAAUUUCAACUUAAACUGAACAAAUACAGUGGGGCAAAAUAUUGACAAAGCUGAUGAUUCUGUUCCCCUGUGGAGAAUGCCAACUGGCACCCGGUUCAAAACUAAGAAAUAAAGAAAUCAACCAUGUGAAAGACUACGUUGUGCAUAACUGGAUCACAGGCAAGUUACUUUCCUCUGUAAGGAUACCUAAGGAGAAAGCUCUGCCGCAGUGAGGGAAAGCAACCACCUCCUGCUUGAGAACACAAGUAUAAAUGUGCUGGAUUCCCCUUUGUGGCACAGAACCAUGCCAUCUCACAGAGCGCAUCCGAGAGCGAGAUCUGGACAACUCAUCAGUCCUGUGUCCAACAGACACAGGAAGGCAAGGCUUGAGACACAAACCAUGAGAAUUCCACGCUGAGGCUUCCAGCAAGAACCAAGUGGGAUCAGGGAGCACACGAUGGGUCCUCUCCUUACAGCUAGCAACCUACUGCAGCAGUGCUGGCUUAGGACACGCUGGCCUGCAGCACAAUUCUGACGUCUCCAUUAGCCAGAUCAGCAUCCUGUAAGAGCAGUCCUGACGUGAGCUGGACAUAUCACAGAGCUCUUGCUUGCGGAUUCCCCCUGAAGCAAGGAUACCCACUGUACUUUGCUUUGGAAAGCACAUAACUACUCUUCUAAAAGACUACUGAGUUUAUAAAAUCACACGGUCAAAGCAAAAUGUCAGGUAAGAUUUCGUGAGCAACUUUAAUUGAGUUUCCUUGUGCUUUUGCAGUACUAUGUAGACUUAUAUAUUCCUGGACCACCUCCUUUCCCUAGCAGCUGUGUCUCAUUUACAGAGUGGAGAGCUGCUGUAUCUCUUAAUUGUAACUCCACACCGAGCUAUCUGAGCCUUAGCAAGUGCUAUCCACUCUCUCCACUGAAUCCAAAGCUGGCAAUUCCCUUCUGACAUGUUAUAGUGCUCUCCCGAGGUCUCUAAUUUGUGGUUAUUUAUUAUGUACACAUUUUCAGUUGAAACAUCUAUUGCACAGAAAAGGUUAGACAAAAAAGUCACACUUUGGCAAAUGUUAGCAGAGCAGAAAGCUUGACUUAACAUCAGAAGUGACAGACAGUCUACCCUGUAAAACUAUGAUCAGCUAUGAGUGAUUUUAAAAGAUCAGUAAGACUUGAGCUAUUAAACCACCCGAGGCAGAGUUUCAAAUUUUGCUGCAGAAGCACCCAGAGAUACUGCAGGACUCUCAGCUCCCAAACCCACACAGCUCACGGUGCCCACAUCCCACCAGCCGAAUCCCAAACGCACCCCAUGUGCUGUUUCCAGUCUACCCAGGGUCAGCAGCUCCCACGAUCACUCGGGGUUUGUUCUCCUCUUACUGCCUGGGUUGCAAAUAAUUUAUUUCUGCAGUCAGCAGUGUGGGAAAUCCUUUGAGGGCUACCAGGCUGCUCCUCAGGGAGGUGGUUAAAAAAAAAACCUGCUGU